rnacentral:rRNA from 1 species
AUUGAACGCUGGCGGCAGGCCUAACACAUGCAAGUCGAGCGGCAGCGGGAAAGUAGCUUGCUACUUUUGCCGGCGAGCGGCGGACGGGUGAGUAAUGCCUGGGGAUCUGCCCAGUCGAGGGGGAUAACUACUGGAAACGGUAGCUAAUACCGCAUUCGCCCUACGGGGGAAAGCAGGGGACCUUCGGGCCUUGCGCGAUUGGAUGAACCCAGGUGGGAUUAGCUAGUUGGUGAGGUAAUGGCUCACCAAGGCGACGAUCCCAAGCUGGUCUGAGAGGAUGAUCAGCCACACUGGAACUGAGACACGGUCCAGACUCCUACGGGAGGCAGCAGUGGGGAAUAUUGCACAAUGGGGGAAACCCUGAUGCAGCCAUGCCGCGUGUGUGAAGAAGGCCUUCGGGUUGUAAAGCACUUUCAGCGAGGAGGAAAGGUUGGUAGCUAAUAACUGCCAGCUGUGACGUUACUCGCAGAAGAAGCACCGGCUAACUCCGUGCCAGCCGCCGCGGUAACAC